AACGAACGCUGGCGGCAUGCCUAACACAUGCCAGUCGAACGAGACCUUCGGGUCUAGUGGCGCACGGGUGCGUAACGCGUGGGAACCUGCCCUUAGGUUCGGAAUAACUCCCCGAAAGGGGUGCUAAUACCGGAUAAUGUCUUCGGACCAAAGAUUUAUCGCCUUUGGAUGGGCCCGCGUUGGAUUAGCUAGUUGGUAGGGUAAAAGCCUACCAAGGCGACGAUCCAUAGCUGGUCUGAGAGGAUGAUCAGCCACACUGGGACUGAGACACGGCCCAGACUCCUACGGGAGGCAGCAGUGGGGAAUAUUGGACCACGGGCGAAAGCCUGAUCCAGCAAUGCCGCGUGAGUGAUGAAGGCCUUAGGGUUGUAAAGCUCUUUUACCCGGGAUGAUAAUGACAGUACCGGGAGAAUAAGCUCCGGCUAACUACGUG
rnacentral:rRNA from 1 species